AGCGAACGCUGGCGGCAGGCCUAACACAUGCAAGUCGAACGGAUCCCUCGGGAUUAGUGGCGGACGGGUGAGUAACACGUGGGAGCGUGCCCUUUGGUUCGGAACAACUCAGGGAAACUUGAGCUAAUACCGGAUGUGCCCUUCGGGGGCAAGAUUUAUCGCCAUUGGAGCGGCCCGCGUCUGAUUAGCUAGUUGGUGAGGUAAAGGCUCACCAAGGCGACGAUCAGUAGCUGGUCUGAGAGGAUGAGCAGCCACAUUGGGACUGAGACACGGCCCAAACUCCUACGGGAGGCAGCAGUGGGGAAUCUUGCGCAAUGGGCGAAAGCCUGACGCAGCCAUGCCGCGUGAAUGAUGAAGGUCUUAGGAUUGUAAAAUUCUUUCACCGGGGACGAUAAUGACGGUACCCGGAGAAGAAGCCCCGGCUAACUUCGUGCCAGCCGCCGCGGUAA
rnacentral:rRNA from 1 species